rnacentral:misc_RNA from 1 species
GCUACUACCGAUUGAAUGGUUUAGUGAGGACUCCUGAUUGGCGCCGCCGCCCCGGCAACGGAGCAGCGGACUGCCGAAAAGUUGUUCAAACUUGAUCAUUUAGAGGAAGUAAAAGUCGUAACAAGGUUUCCGUAGUGACCUGCAGAAGGAUCAUUGAUCCUUCUGCAGGUUCACCUACGGCUACCUUGUUACGACUUCACCCCAGUCGCUGAGCUCACCGUGGUCCGCUGCCUCAAAAGUUAGCGCACGGCCUUCGGGUAAACCCAACUCCCAUGGUGUGACGGGCGGUGUGUACUUGGCGG